UCCCUUUGCUCCUACAAGUGUUAAUGUAAAGCAUCAAGCUUUGAUAUUUUUGGCAGUCUUCGAGAGGAGUGGCCUCACCUUUCUCAUCAGUACAACCCUCUAAUCAUACAACUACUCAUCAACCCUUACUUACAUCAAUAUGUAUGCCACGUUGCUAACUAAAAAUGUUAAAUUACAUAGGACGAGUGCAAAUUACAGGUAACAAAAGCAAAAUAAGGGAGGUCAAAAGCCUAUGAUGUAUGGCAAGGUACUUGAUACUUAUAAUCCAAAUCCUUUUCUGCUUACUCUGAAUGUUCCACGGCGAACUGGAGAAGAAAGUGCCUCAAAAGCCCCACCAUUCAGUUAUCAAAAUUAUACUGCAGCUCCCCGUUGUGCAAUAAAAGGAUACAAGGUAUUUAGUCCAUCCCAGAUGGAAUGAUUUGUGUUCUUGCAGGGUUUACUACAUACACAUUCAUAUAUCCAGUUGCUCAAGGUUGAUCAUGCUCGCUGAAUGUUGUAUAAGUUGCUUUCUAACAUCCACCUUGGAUCCCAUUAGUGAAGAGAAGACGACAUUUGCUUCAGCUGCAUCCUCCACUACUAAUUGCUUUAACAGCCUAGUCUCUGGGUUCAUUGUUGUUUCCCAUAACUGUGCUGGCAUCAUUUCUCCCAAUCCUUUGAACCUCUGUAUGUUAUAUGAUGCAUUUGAAGGAAAGGAACGCUGGACCUUUUUAAGUUCUACAUCAUCAUAGCAGUAGUAUGCUUGUUUUCCCCUUUCAACCUUAUAGAGAGGUGGAACACCAACAUAAAUGCAACCUUCUUCAAAAAGAGCUCUCUGAUAUCUAAAGAAAAAUGUCAACAACAAUGUUCGAAUAUGAGCACCAUCAACAUCGGCAUCUGUUAAAAUUAUGAUCUUAUGAUAACGGAGAGCUUCCUUUUUAAAAUCCUCCCCCUUAACUCCAAGUCCUAAACCAAGAAUAAGAUUUUGAAUCUCUUCAUUUUUAUACAUAGCUGCUUCAUCCUUUCUCUCAAUAUUCAAAAUUUUGCCUCUCAAAGGAAGAAUAGCCUGAAAGCGCCGAUCACGACCUUGUUUUGCACUUCCACCAGCUGAAUCACCCUCAACGAUGAAAAUUUCAGCUUCUUCAGGAUUUGUGGCUGAACAAUCAGCAAGCUUCCCUGGAAGAGAGGAUGAUCUUAAGACACUUUUCUGUCUCACCAACUCCCGAG
rnacentral:misc_RNA from 1 species